rnacentral:rRNA from 1 species
GACAGAGGGUGCGAGCGUUGUUCGGAAUCACUGGGCGUAAAGGGCGCGUAGGCGGCCACCGCAAGUCGACUGUGAAAUCUCCGGGCUUAACUCGGAAAGGUCAGCCGAUACUGCGGGGCUAGAGUGCAGAAGGGGCAACUGGAAUUCUCGGUGUAGCGGUGAAAUGCGUAGAUAUCGAGAGGAACACCUGCGGCGAAGGCGGGUUGCUGGGCUGACACUGACGCUGAGGCGCGAAAGCUAGGGGAGCGAACGGG